rnacentral:rRNA from 1 species
CCUACGGGAGGCAGCAGUAGGGAAUCUUUCACAAUGGGCGAAAGCCUGAUGGAGCAACGCCGCGUGCAGGAUGAAGGCCUUCGGGUUGUAAACUGCUUUUAUAAGCGAGAAAUAUGAUGGUAACUUAUGAAUAAGGAUCGGCUAACUACGUGCCAGCAGCCGCGGUCAUACGUAGGAUCCGAGCAUUAUCCGGAGUGACUGGGUGUAAAGGGAGCGUAGGCGGGCGAGAAAGUUGAAUGUUAAAUCUACCGGCUUAACUGGUAGCUGCGUUCAAAACUUCUUGUCUUGAGUGAAGUAGAGGCAGGCGGAAUUCCUAGUGUAGCGGUGAAAUGCGUAGAUAUUAGGAGGAACACCAGUGGCGAAGGCGGCCUGCUGGGCUUUAACUGACGCUGAGGCUCGAAAGCGUGGGGAGCAAACAGGAUUAGAUACCCGAGUAGUC